UAACUGAUGAUGAACUAACUCGGAUUCCCCUUCAGGACAUCAUAAUGUAUGAUGCAAAAUCGAGUCUCUGAUGCU
rfam:Brachypodium distachyon strain Bd21 chromosome 1, whole genome shotgun sequence.